GACCAAAAAAAACCCUCAUUUGGUCCUUUUUCAGAAACCACACCCUCACAAAAAUGUGAACUUCAUCUCACUUGCCAUUCACCCAAGCCGUCGAGCCUCAACUCCGACAAGCUUCAGUCCGCCGAGCCUCACCGCCAUCAAGCUUCACUCCGCCGAUCCUCACCUCCAUUGAGCCUCACUCCACCGUUCCUCACCUUUGCCAAUCCUCACACCAAGUCACACCUCUCCACCGUUCCCUUGCAUGUCCGCCGAUCCACACCGCUGCCGAGCUAGACCACCAUCUCACCGCUCAAGAGCCUCCACCCGUUCCAAUCGCCGAUCGACAAGUCCUCUGACACUCUUGCCGUCUUUGAUGCUAACGGUUAAAUACUCAUUAUUUGUGAAACUUUGGAUUUUUUCUUAAAGGUGUACGCUUAGCUUGAGCAUAGUAAGUAAAAUUUGUUUAAAUACUUAAAAAACUCUAUAUUUGUAAUGUUGAUAAUUGGCUUUGUGGUGGGUUGUUGUAUUGAAGUAAGCGGGUGACUUGCAUGGAGUUAUAAGGUGAUUCAAAUUCACAUUGAGAGUGUUUUUAUUUUUUGAAUUGUGAAUGGAUAUUGUUGAUUUAUAUGUGAUGGAUAUUAUUUAAUUGUUUUUAA